rnacentral:tRNA from 1 species
GGGGAUGUAGCUCAGUUGUAGAGUGCUUGUUUGAAAUACAUAAAGCCCAGGGUUUCAUGCCCAGCACCCCCC